GUGGGUCCUGGGCCCAGGAACCGGCCCGGAGCCGUGGACGCGCUACAGCUGAGAAGGGGACCCAAGGGGUCGGCCGCGGCCAAGGCCCCUAGGACCGCCGCCCCAGCUCACGCUGCCGACGGCAGCUAUAGACAUUCUGCGUGAGGUCCGGGCUCCUGGACUUCGCCUUUCCCGAGCCCUGGAGGUGGGGAGAAAAGUGGAAGAACUGGCCAGAGAGUCUGGAAGUUUGGGUUCUGGUCCUGGCUGUGCCACUGACUCACUGUGACCUUAGGAUCUUGUGCUGUGAAGACAUUUCCCAAGUGCUUCAUGUUAGCCAGCAAAUCUGACCCACAAGGCCUGGAAAGAGGUGAUUGUUAGGUUGUGCAGAGGUGGUCUUAUCCAGCUCAGCUUCCCCUGGGACCCACUGUGGGACCUGAGGCAGAACUGGGGUGGACUUGGUCUCCUCCAUGGCACACCGGCUGCAGAUACGACUGCUGACAUGGGAUGUGAAGGACACGCUGCUCAGGCUCCGCCACCCCUUAGGGGAGGAAUAUGCCACCAAGGCCCGGGCCCAUGGGCUGGAGGUGGAGCCCUCAGCCCUGGAACAAGGCUUCAGGCAGGCAUACAGGGCUCAGAGCCACAGCUUCCCCAACUACGGCCUGAGCCACGGCCUAACCUCCCGCCAGUGGUGGCUGGAUGUGGUCCUGCAGACCUUCCACCUGGCGGGUGUCCAGGAUGCUCAGGCUGUAGCCCCCAUCGCUGAACAGCUUUAUAAAGACUUCAGCCACCCCUGCACCUGGCAGGUGUUGGAUGGGGCUGAGGACACCCUGAGGGAGUGCCGCACACGGGGUCUGAGACUGGCAGUGAUCUCCAACUUUGACCGACGGCUAGAGGGCAUCCUGGGGGGCCUUGGCCUGCGUGAACACUUCGACUU
rnacentral:sRNA from 1 species